AUUGAACGCUGGCGGCAUGCUUUACACAUGCAAGUCGAACGGUAACAGGUCUUCGGAUGCUGACGAGUGGCGAACGGGUGAGUAAUGUAUCGGAACGUGCCCAGUAGUGGGGGAUAACUACUCGAAAGAGUGGCUAAUACCGCAUGAGAACUGAGGUUGAAAGCGGGGGACCUUCGGGCCUCGCGCUACUGGAGCGGCCGAUAUCAGAUUAGGUAGUUGGUGGGGUAAAGGCCUACCAAGCCGACGAUCUGUAGCUGGUCUGAGAGGACGACCAGCCACACUGGGACUGAGACACGGCCCAGACUCCUACGGGAGGCAGCAGUGGGGAAUUUUGGACAAUGGACGCAAGUCUGAUCCAGCAAUGCCGCGUGCAGGACGAAGGCCUCGGUU
rnacentral:rRNA from 1 species